GUGUGCUCAGUUUGUCAUCCAGUACAGCAGAAAUGUACCAUACAGAGAUUAGCAUGGUCCCUGUUAAAGGAGGACAUGCAAAUUUGUGAAACCAUCAAUAUUUUG
rnacentral:snRNA from 1 species